rnacentral:misc_RNA from 1 species
GAUGAAGAACGUAGCGAAAUGCGAUAAGUAGUGUGAAUUGCAGAAUUCAGUGAAUCAUCGAAUCUUUGAACGCACAUUGCGCCUCCUGGCAUUCCGGGAGGCAUGCCUGUUCGAGCGUCAUCAAACCCCAUCGUGCAAACGAAUUAUUUUUUUUGCGCGGAAGUGACGAUUGAGCGAGAAUAACAAAUCCUCUCGCACCUCGUCGAAAUGAUUGCGGGCGGAAUUUGGGAUCGGGUUCCUCGGCGUAGUGUAUCAAUGCAUAUUUAUGCAACUUGCCGCGGAGUUGAGCCUGACCCACGCGUUCUCGCCGUACAAACACCUCAUUAUUUUACAAGUUUUUGACCUCGGAUCAGGUAGGGAUACCCGCUGAACUUAAGCAUAUCAAUAAGCGGAGGA